rnacentral:rRNA from 1 species
GACGGAAGGUGCAAGCGUUGCUCGGAAUCACUGGGCGUAAAGGGCGCGUAGGCGGCGCGACAAGUCAGGCGUGAAAGCCCCGGGCUCAACCCGGGAAUUGCGCUUGAUACUGUCGUGCUUGAGGCCGGGAGAGGAUGGCGGAAUUCCCAGUGUAGAGGUGAAAUUCGUAGAUAUUGGGAGGAACACCAAUGGCGAAGGCAGCACCCUGGGCCGGUACUGACGCUGAGGAGCGAAAGCGUGGGGAGCAAACAGG